AAAGAGCUUAAUAGCCUCAAAACCUUGUGGUUAAGACUUCUUUUUUCCAGCCUAAUAAAUCCUUGUUUCUAAGAUAUGAAGCAUCCAAGAAAGUCCUACAAGACAAGGUGAAAUAAGAUUAACAUUUAUUUAUAGAUAUAAACUUCUAUGAAGAACAUAAAACUGAAUAUUUAUCUGACAAAUAGUGUCAAAUCUUAACCAAGUUAAAAUAGGUGCAGUAUAAGCUGCGCCCGCUUGAAGAAAACUUCAAUUCAGGAAAAGUUCUUAAUAAGAGCAUAAAUCGAUAGAUGUAUUUUUGUUUCCGAAUGAAAAUAUUCGCAUCAUGUUCGAGAAGAAAAUUUUAAAAUGAUACUAACUACUAAUAAUAUUUUAAUCAGUCAUAAAACCCAGAAUGAUGCUUAACCUAUGAAAGAAAAGAUACUUAACUAGAACCAUCUCAAACUACUUUUAAAAGUUUCCAACUACAAAUAUGUGCUCCAUGUUGAUUUCAUGUGUCAACUCAAGCAAUGCCUGCAAGGCACCAAACUCAGCUACAAGCUGCUUCAAAGAAUAUCUUUCAUUCUAAAGAAGGACAAGUAGAAAUCUGAACCUGAUGGGCCUAAAAGCACAUCCACAACGAGUUCUCAAUGAAGCUUCAGGAGGUGGUUUGCUGCUAAUGCCAGAGCAUUUUGUCCAGCUAAAUGUAGCAUAUAUAUGUAGGAUGCAAGAGUAAAACUAGAAACAAACUGAAGCAUGGUGAGAAGCUGGGUAAAUAAGGUCCUUUGGUCAACAUGACAGACUAGUAAAUUUGCUCAAUGCACCAUUUGGAUGGAUGGUGAGAUGUGAUUCCACUGAGCCGAAGCCUCAAAAUGGCAAUGGACCUAAUCAUACUUCACAGAGGUGGGAAUGCCUUCCUACCAUGCAUCCAAAUGAAGCACAAACUGCAUGCAUAGAAAUGAAAGUGCAUCAUGAUAACCGGUACCCAGCAUUCAUUCAUCAUCAUGAUGGGUAAAAAAC
rnacentral:lncRNA from 1 species